AGUCCCUUAGUGUAGUGGUCAAGCAUAAAUGGUUCUGGGCCAUUUGACGGCAGUUCAAAUCUGCCAGGGACUA
rnacentral:tRNA from 1 species